GUAGGUGGCAAGCGUUGUCCGGAAUUAUUGGGCGUAAAGCGCGCGCAGGCGGUUCUUUAAGUCUGAUGUGAAAGCCCACGGCUCAACCGUGGAGGGUCAUUGGAAACUGGAGAACUUGAGUACAGAAGAGGAAAGCGGAAUUCCACGUGUAGCGGUGAAAUGCGUAGAGAUGUGGAGGAACACCAGUGGCGAAGGCGGCUUUCUGGUCUGUAACUGACGCUGAGGCGCGAAAGCGUGGGGGAGCAAACAGGAUUAGAUACCCUGGUAGUCCACGCCGUAAACGAUGAGUGCUAAGUGUUAGGGAGUUUCCGCCCCCCCCUUAGUGCUGCAGCUAACGCAUUAAGCACUCCGCCUGGGAGUACGGCCGCAAGGCUG
rnacentral:rRNA from 1 species